ensembl:lncRNA
AUCCGUUCCGCCGCUAGAGGGCGCGCCUGCGCCUCGGAGGACUUGGUUACCUCCUCCAGCUCCCGUCUUGUUUUCCGUGUAGCAUGAAGAGGGAAACGUUUUAAAACAGUGUGUCAAAAAGCUCUGACCGCUGAAGGUGAUAUAGGCUCUGUUCACCGCUCACGGCGUCGGACUCUAGGGAUGCUACCGAACAACCUUAACACUGGGCCGAGAGUGGCGAGAUACUUGAUUUUCCUCUCGUUUUUUCACUACAACCUUGUUACUGGCAGCUCCAAGAAAGACUUGCAGGUCAGCCCGUUUCCUCUCCCCCUUCAAGAUGAUUCAACGCCCCCCCCUCCCUCCUCAGCAUGCACACUAUGGUUCAUCUCGGCCUCAUCCCGGGCAAAUAAUUUCAGACAGAUGCUGUCUGAUGUCGAAAAUGGUGAAACUCAAAGGGCUCUUACACCUGAGGGCCGAAGGACUCAAGCCCAACACACGCUGGCGCCGAAAAGGCGCGUCAAAAAGAACGGCCCCAGUAUUCCGGACGUACUAGCCCGCACCGCGCCGCGCCGCCCGACGUCUAGGCUUCACGCCACUGUUCUAUUCCCUAGCGUCGCCGCCCCUGAAAAAGCGCUUCUAAAGCUGUUUGGUACAUCCCGGCUUGAUACAAGGUCCUGUGUAUAUAUGGAGAUUGUUGAUGCACUACAUCCACGAUGCAAAAGGAUUGAGCAAUGAAAGUAAAUAAAGUGUGUAAAGUGACUACAACAUAAAAAAAGUGCCCGACAGUACAUAAAGUAACUGAAUGAAUGUGACUAUCAUUGUAAGCAGAAACAGAGGAUCAUGGGCAUCAGGAUCAUGUAGUCAUUAAACAACUGGUAUGACGUGAUGGUAGCCUAUACCGACUAAGUUUGUUGAUCUGCUUCUUUCAAAACAUAUGCAGCGUGCCGUUUCCUUUUGCUGCUAGGGGCGGCUUUUGACGCGCUUGAAAUGCGCAACGCUGCGGCGCCGGUGUGUGGCCGGCUUCACUCUGUGGUGCUAACAAUAAACAUAUUUUUACUAUUUCAUCAAAUGCUUAAUAUGGGAAGAUAAUAUAACCCAGAACCUUUUGGUUGGGAAUCAAACUUCUGUGUCCAAUACUUUUUUUUUGUUGUUUUAAGUUCGACUUUGAUACAGUUGUUCAGAAAAAU